rnacentral:tRNA from 4 species
GCGCCCAUCGUCUAGCGGUCCAGGACGCCGCCCUCUCACGGCGGAAACAGGGGUUCGAUUCCCCUUGGGCGUGCCA